rnacentral:rRNA from 1 species
AUGAACGCUGGCGGCGUGCUUAACACAUGCAAGUCGAACGAACCUUCGGGUUAGUGGCGGACGGGUGAGUAACGCGUGGGAAUCUGCCCUCAGGAGGGGGAUAACGGCCGGAAACGGCCGCUAAUACCCCAUAUGCCGAGAGGUGAAAUGAAUUUCGCCUGAGGAUGAGCCCGCGUCUGAUUAGCUAGUUGGUGGGGUAAUGGCCCACCAAGGCGACGAUCAGUAGCUGGUCUGAGAGGAUGAUCAGCCACACUGGGACUGAGACACGGCCCAGACUCCUACGGGAGGCAGCAGUGGGGAAUUUUCCGCAAUGGGCGAAAGCCUGACGGAGCAACGCCGCGUGAGGGAUGAAGGCCUCUGGGCUGUAAACCUCUUUUCUCAAGGAAGAAGACAUGACGGUACUUGAGGAAUAAGCCACGGCUAAUUCCGUGCCAGCAGCCGCGGUAAUACGGGAGUGGCAAGCGUUAUCCGGAAUUAUUGGGCGUAAAGCGUCCGCAGGCGGCCUUGUAAGUCUGUCGUUAAAGCGUGGAGCUUAACUCCAUUUAAGCGAUGGAAACUACAAGGCUUGAGUGUGGUAGGGGCAGAGGGAAUUCCCGGUGUAGCGGUGAAAUGCGUAGAUAUCGGGAAGAACACCAGUGGCGAAGGCGCUCUGCUGGGCCAUAACUGACGCUCAUGGACGAAAGCCAGGGGAGCGAAAGGGAUUAGAUACCCCUGUAGUCCUGGCCGUAAACGAUGAACACUAGGUGUCGGGGGAAUCGACCCCCUCGGUGUCGUAGCUAACGCGUUAAGUGUUCCGCCUGGGGAGUACGCACGCAAGUGUGAAACUCAAAGGAAUUGACGGGGGCCCGCACAAGCGGUGGAGUAUGUGGUUUAAUUCGAUGCAACGCGAAGAACCUUACCAGGGUUUGACAUCCUGCGAAUCCCUUGGAAACGAGGGAGUGCCUUCGGGAGCGCAGAGACAGGUGGUGCAUGGCUGUCGUCAGCUCGUGUCGUGAGAUGUUGGGUUAAGUCCCGCAACGAGCGCAACCCACGUCUUUAGUUGCCAGCAUUCAGUUGGGCACUCUAGAGAGACCGCCGGUGAUAAACCGGAGGAAGGUGUGGAUGACGUCAAGUCAUCAUGCCCCUUACAUCCUGGGCUACACACGUACUACAAUGCUACGGACAAAGGGUUGCAAGCUCGCGAGAGUUAGCUAAUCCCAUAAACCGUGGCUCAGUUCAGAUCGUAGGCUGCAACUCGCCUACGUGAAGGAGGAAUCGCUAGUAAUCGCAGGUCAGCAUACUGCGGUGAAUACGUUCCCGGGCCUUGUACACACCGCCCGUCACACCAUGGAAGUUGGCCAUGCCCGAAGUCGUUACUCCAACCCUUGUGGAGGAGGACGCCGAAGGUGGGGCUGAUGACUGGGGUGAAGUCGUAACAAGGUAGCCGUACCGGAAGGUGCGGCUGGAUCACCUCCUA